rnacentral:lncRNA from 1 species
AUUACGAUUCUUAAAAAUUCAAUUAACACAAAUAAUUAGAUAACGAGAAGAAAAAUCUUUCACUAGUAAUCCCGUAUCCGGAGUGAAUUGAUUGAGGUGGUUACUGUGUUCUCGAGAUCCUAAUUAACUUGUGCUUUGUCGAGAAUAGUAGACGAAGGGGUUAAGGUAAGUACGCACCUCAUAGCCAUAAAUAUAACAUAGUCAUA